GGCAGGGGGCUGGGAUAAGGGGUUUCAGGGGAGGGUUCAUGGGGGCACCUGAGUGCUGGAACUCAUCACCAUCCCCACCUUGAUGGAGCAGGGUGUCAUCUCCUCCCUCGAGAUGAUCUUCAGUUACCUGGAGCUGCUGCAUGGUGAGAUGGAUUUUUAUGUGGAGGGCAAUGUGCUCAGCUGUCGGAAUGAGAGUUCAAUAUACAGAGCUGGGGAUCCUGUGGCGUUGGUGGGUGGGGGAAGGGCUGGCAUCAAGGACCCCUUCCUGGUAGAGGAUCUAUUUCGGGCCAACUGUGAGAACAGGCACGUCCUGACUGGAAUUGCAGGGAAGGAGGGUUCCCAAGUUGGCAAAGGCCCCAGACUGGCUCCAUGUCCCCCCUACACCCCCUCCAAGAGCCCUGCAGGGUCCCCCACCCAGGCCAUAUCUCCAUCUUGUCCUUUCUCUGUCCCAGGAAUUCAAAUUCAUCAAGGACAUCAAGCUGGUACAGAAGGCUGCAAAUCUGUACACCAUGCAGCCCGAUGAGCACUUUGGGGCCUGGUUGCAGGCUGUGGAGCCCCUGAGCGAGGAGGUGAGCUACAGCCUGUCCUGUCUGCUGGAGCCAUGAUACCAGUGGACCAGAAAGAUUCCACUCUUAUUCAAAGACAAGAAGAGCCACUCAUCUUCCUGCCCAGGGCUGAACACCAGGCCCCCAAAAAAGAGCCCAGUGGUGGUGGCAGAUGACGCUCCUUAGACCAGCUGAACUACAUCAGGGACAAAGCGGGGACACUCAGGUGCACGGGGCCACCUCUCAGAUGCUGAUAUGAAUGAAAACUUUGUGAUCCAUUUCCUGGGGUCCCUGAAGACCACAAGGGAGUGGACGACCACCCCCAUCUCCCUGACACAUUUUCCCCAGCGCCUAUUUCCCUCUUUGGAGGGGCCAUGUUCUUGUUGUCAAUGAUAAAUGCUAAGUUUGGGUAUUCUGUUAAAUUUCUGUUUUUUUGUCAGCCUGGGAGUGGAUGUGUGGUUCUUUCACUCUCUGUGCUCAUGGAAAUGAGAUCCAGAAUCUCACAUUCCUCCUUGAAUUCAGAAACCUCGCAGAGUCCUCAGCUCAGGGCAUGUGGUGAAGGGAGAAGUGCCAGUGCCAUCCCUGGCUGCUGAAGGACAGUCCCGUGUCCCCCUCACUCAGAGGACAGGAUCAUUGCAGUGUGGUUCACCUGGUCCUGGAGCAGAAGCGGCC
rnacentral:lncRNA from 1 species